GAGGUAAAUUUCAAUAGGUGACGACGUCUGCAGGCGAAAAAGUCAUUGACAUAUUUACAAGAACGCUAAGAAAUGCCGUGUGUUCGAAUCAAAGAAGCUUAUCACAAUACUAAGCAUAUCAUUGAUGACAUCGAGUUAAGUUGCAAAGUUGAGGAAUUGAAGGAAAAGGCAGCAGCGAAGACGAACAUACCGAUUGACCAGCAGAAUUUUAUAUUUGCUGGAGAACUGCUUAAGGACGAGAAAACUCUGGACUCUUAUGGAAUCAAAGAUGGAUUUACUAUUUAUGUGAUGAUAAAGAACCCUGAACCAGAACCCAUAGAACUUGAUUCAGAUGAUGUGCCAAUCACUGAAGUGAUCCCUGUCUUAGAGGCAGCCAUCAAGAGCCCUUCCUACAGAAAUACAGUUGAAAAAAUUCUUACCAAUCCAGACAUGCUUGAACAACUGACUGUAGCCACUCCAGGAUUAUCAUCUGAUCAUGUUGCUAUGACUCUUCUUCAAGAUCCUGAACUUCUUGAACAACUUGUACAGACAGCAAACGUUGAGACGGUAAUGCGAGAACAUCCAAGCCUGGUUCAGGCAGCUUCCUACAUUGCUGCAGCAAUUGCCAAGGAGGGAGGGGUAGGUAAACAUUCCACCAGGAGUCACAUGGCUGGUGACACAUAUGAUUCUGAUGAUGAACUGCGAGGCAUGGAUCCAGGGCUUGUUGCUCAAGCUGAACUGGUGGCAGCAAAUGAAGAGAGUAUCCAAGCAUUAAGAUCUGCUGCGGCCUCAAGAGGAGCAUCAUCAUCUCGGCAACCAGUCACAUCAUCAUUAUUAUCAUCGGCUUUAGCUAAUGCAGGAAUUUCUCCAGGUUCUUCAACACGCAGUGAAGCUGGGCCAUCCACAAGCAGAGGUGCUUCAACAUCAGCUUUCUCACCAGUCAUCCCAUCAACAAGUAGAGGUACAAGAGCGUCAAGUUCACGACCAACCAUAACAAGAGAUAUGGUCAGUGAAGCGGUGGCAUCUGUCAUGAACAUUUCUCAGCAAUCAUCUCAGCUUCAGUCACAGUUGCAGCAACUCAGAGAUAUGGGAAUCACAGAUGAUGCACUCAGUAUCCAGGCUCUCACUGCUACUGGUGGUAACGUCCAAGCUGCCCUUGACUUGAUAUUUGAAGGAUUAUAAACCCACAUGUCCCACUCCUGUGUCUGAGUUCCAUGUCUUUUGAAUUUCAGAAUUUACCAGGUUGAAUGUAUGAUGACACUGAAUACUAUUUAAAUUUUGUUUAAAAGAUUACAGAAAGAAGCUUAGGUAAGUCACCUAAGCUGCUAUGGUUGGGAAAAGUGUGAGUUGUUAAACACUUUUAUUUGUGACUGUUUUGGAAAUACGCAUAUUAUUUGUAGGCAUUAAUCCUCUCAGGUUAAUCAUUCCCCCAAAAAACUAAAAUAUGAAAAACUUACAGUAUUGAAGGUGAAGGAGAAAGAAAAUGUUCAAAGUAAGAAAGGACAAGUAAUUCAAACUGAAAAAAAACUACAGUCUCCAAAGGUACUUUUUUAUUAGAAAUAACACACAACAUUGCAGCAGCAAGCUGUCUUUUUUCCCAGCUGGUAUCCUUAGUUUAUAAGCUGAUAUUAUAUCCUUGUUAUUCAAUAUUUCAGGGUAAUUAAAUAACAUUUUUUAUUUUACUACCAUUGUGAAUAUCCAUUUAGAAUGCAAUUUCUUUUACUGUUUAAUUAUUUUUAUACAAUGCAAGGAAACUGUCUUUGUAACAGUUUUCUAGUGACGUAUGAUUUUAACUAAAUGCACAAAUAGAUCGAUGUUGUUGUUUGGA
rnacentral:misc_RNA from 1 species